ACUGUCGCUGCGACGAUAAGGCCUGGCGUUAUUGCUUAGAGGCGGCUACCUGGAGCCGGAAGCGCGGCUGCAGCAGGGCGAGGCUCCAGGUGGGGUCGGUUCCGCAUCCAGCCUAGCGUGUCCACGAUGCGGCUGGGCUCCGGGACUUUCGCUACCUGUUGCGUAGCGAUCGAGGUGCUAGGGAUCGCGGUCUUCCUUCGGGGAUUCUUCCCGGCUCCCGUUCGUUCCUCUGCCAGAGCGGAACACGGAGCGGAGCCCCCAGCGCCCGAACCCUCGGCUGGAGCCAGUUCUAACUGGACCACGCUGCCACCACCUCUCUUCAGUAAAGUUGUUAUUGUUCUGAUAGAUGCCUUGAGAGAUGAUUUUGUGUUUGGGUCAAAGGGUGUGAAAUUUAUGCCCUACACAACUUACCUUGUGGAAAAAGGAGCAUCUCACAGUUUUGUGGCUGAAGCAAAGCCACCUACAGUUACUAUGCCUCGAAUCAAGGCAUUGAUGACGGGGAGCCUUCCUGGCUUUGUCGACGUCAUCAGGAACCUCAAUUCUCCUGCACUGCUGGAAGACAGUGUGAUAAGACAAGCAAAAGCAGCUGGAAAAAGAAUAGUCUUUUAUGGAGAUGAAACCUGGGUUAAAUUAUUCCCAAAGCAUUUUGUGGAAUAUGAUGGAACAACCUCAUUUUUCGUGUCAGAUUACACAGAGGUGGAUAAUAAUGUCACGAGGCAUUUGGAUAAAGUAUUAAAAAGAGGAGAUUGGGACAUAUUAAUCCUCCACUACCUGGGGCUGGACCACAUUGGCCACAUUUCAGGGCCCAACAGCCCCCUGAUUGGGCAGAAGCUGAGCGAGAUGGACAGCGUGCUGAUGAAGAUCCACACCUCACUGCAGUCGAAGGAGAGAGAGACGCCUUUACCCAAUUUGCUGGUUCUUUGUGGUGACCAUGGCAUGUCUGAAACAGGAAGUCACGGGGCCUCCUCCACCGAGGAGGUGAAUACACCUCUGAUUUUAAUCAGUUCUGCGUUUGAAAGGAAACCCGGUGAUAUCCGACAUCCAAAGCACGUCCAACAGACGGAUGUGGCUGCGACACUGGCGAUAGCACUUGGCUUACCGAUUCCAAAAGACAGUGUAGGGAGCCUCCUAUUCCCAGUUGUGGAAGGAAGACCAAUGAGAGAGCAGUUGAGAUUUUUACAUUUGAAUACAGUGCAGCUUAGUAAACUGUUGCAAGAGAAUGUGCCGUCAUAUGAAAAAGAUCCUGGGUUUGAGCAGUUUAAAAUGUCAGAAAGAUUGCAUGGGAACUGGAUCAGACUGUACUUGGAGGAAAAGCAUUCAGAAGUCCUAUUCAACCUGGGCUCCAAGGUUCUCAGGCAGUACCUGGAUGCUCUGAAGACGCUGAGCUUGUCCCUGAGUGCACAAGUGGCCCAGUACGACAUCUAUUCGAUGAUGGUGGGGACUGUCGUGGUUUUGGAGGUUCUCACCCUGCUCCUGCUCAGCGUCCCACAGGCACUGCGCAGAAAGGCUGAGCUGGAAGUCCCACUGUCAUCUCCUGGGUUUUCUCUGCUCUUUUAUUUGGUGAUCCUGGUUCUUUCGGCCGUUCACGUCAUUGUGUGCACCUCAGCUGAAAGUUCGUGCUACUUCUGUGGCCUCUCGUGGCUGGCGGCAGGUGGGGUGAUGGUGCUGGCCUCGGCGCUGCUGUGUGUGAUUGUGUCUGUUCUGACCAACGUGCUCGUGGGUGGAAACACCCCAAGGAAGAACCCCAUGCAUCCCAGCUCAAGGUGGUCAGAGCUAGACCUUCUUAUUCUGUUGGGGACGGCGGGCCACGUCUUGAGCCUGGGCGCCAGCAGCUUCGUGGAGGAGGAGCACCAGACCUGGUACUUCCUUGUGAACACCCUGUGUCUAGCUCUGAGCCAAGAAACCUACAGAAACUACUUUCUGGGAGAUGACGGUGAGCCUCCGUGUGGCCUCUGUGUGGAACAAGGGCAUGACGGGGCCACAGCAGCGUGGCAGGACGGGCCUGGCUGUGAUGUCCUGGAGCGAGACAAAGGCCACGGAAGCCCCUCUACCUCCGAAGUGCUCAGAGGCCGCGAGAAGUGGAUGGUGCUGGCCAGUCCGUGGCUAAUACUGGCCUGCUGCCGGCUGCUGCGCUCCCUAAACCAGACAGGUGUGCAGUGGGCUCACCGGCCUGACCUCGGCCACUGGCUCACCAGCUCUGACCACAAAGCCGAGCUCUCUGUCCUGGCUGCCCUCUCCCUCCUCGUAGUUUUUGUGCUGGUGCAGAGGGGGUGCUCCCCUGUGUCCAAGGCUGCCCUGGCGCUGGGGCUGCUGGGCGUCUACUGCUACCGGGCGGCCAUCGGGAGUGUCCGGUUCCCGUGGCGGCCGGACAGCAAGGACAUUUCCAAGGGUAUUAUUGAAGCUCGUUUUGUUUAUGUCUUUGUCCUUGGCAUUCUGUUCACGGGCACCAAAGACUUACUUAAAUCUCAAGUCAUUGCUGCAGACUUCAAACUCAAGACUGUAGGUUUAUGGGAGAUAUAUAGUGGAUUAGUUCUUCUGGCAGCCUUGCUCUUUAGACCACAUAAUCUUCCGGUCUUAGCAUUUAGCCUCUUGAUUCAGACUCUAAUGACUAAAUUCAUCUGGAAGCCCCUGAGACACGAUGCAGCUGAGAUUACUGUGAUGCAUUAUUGGUUUGGUCAAGCAUUCUUCUAUUUUCAGGUAGGUUUUCAUUAUUAUCAUGGGUAGUAGACUUCAUGUUUUACAUAUUUAUUUUAAAUUUUUCUUUGAGAAAAUGUUCCCAUAAGUUGGAAAGUGACUGUCAGUGUGGCAUGGUGAAUUACGCUGAACUCUCGUGUAUUUUAUAAGACAAAGUACAGCCGGUUGUUUAAGACACGCGUCCCAGGUGUGGAUGUGUGGGUGCUUAAGACAGCAGACUGCUGCUUUGCUGGGCCAGGCCUGGGUUUAUUUAUUACAAGCAGUUCAGGAAGCACAGACAUCACGUUGUUCACUUGCUUCACUGAUGAAUGUAAUAAUUGUUCUCGUUCAUGCCCUUUGCCCCUGGUGUCGGGGCUGUCCACACUGGGGACCAUUGGUGCCCCCAUGAUUAUUAGCUCCCUGAAGCCUGGUGGGUCGUCAGGGCUUCUGUCCGGUGUUUAAAGACCCAUCCCAGACAAGCCCAAACCACCUCAGUUUGAAGAGACAUAGAGGGACAGGCAGACGGGGCCUCAGAGGGAUCCAGCCUCAUCCAGCCUCCCGGCAACCUCAGGAGAGCAGGCCAGAUGGGGCCUCAGAGGGAUCCAGCCUCAUCCAGCCUCCCGGCAACCUCAGGAGAGCAGGCACAGCCCUGCUGGUUCCCUUCCAGUGCCGACUCCCAGGCUGAGUCGCUUUGCAGCAGCUGAACGUCGUGGUUGCAUUUUGGUCUCUACCGUGAGGUCUGUAUUUUCUUGGUGUGCACCGGUGUCUGCCUGUCCGCUGUCUCGUACCCAGGAGGCAUGUGCAGUUCUUUGUGUCCCUACAGGGCCUCUCUUCCAUCCUCUUCUCCUUUCCUGGUGCUCCCAGCCUUUCCCAUGGAACAGCCCACAGUUGCAGGAUUUUCUGUCUUUAUGUCUGUCCCCCUGAUCCUGAAGCCCAAAGGUGGUAGGCGUGAAGUUACAGAAGUCUGUGUCUUCAGGUACAAUGAGUAGGUGGCCAAUGGCCAGCUUCUUAGCCCCGUCCUGGUGCUUCCCCGACCCUUCUGAUCCGCUCAGGCCCCUGUCCUCCUCGUACACAGCUGCAGCUCUCCCUGCCAUGUCCACGCAAGGCACAAGGGUGUCCCCAGCAGAACUGCAGGCCUGGAUGCUGGUAUCCAGCACGUUCAAGCCAGGUGGCCUCCGGCAGGCUCUUGCCACACCUUCGUUUCCUUAUCUGUAAACCAGGGAUAGUGGUCUCCCGGCCUCCCCAGGACCCAGCCCUCCCUGGUCUCCCCACCUCCCCGUGGCCCCUGUUUUGAGGCUGAGUCCGCUGCCCCUCAGUGUUAGAUCUCCUCUGAGAGGAACCUGUGGCUUUGCUGCCCAUCCCUACUUCCUGCCCUCGACUGGGCAGUUCCUUAACAGAUCAGGGAUCAGGAACAUGACUGCCCUUGCUCAUCUGCUGGCCCUCCACAUUUGCCCAGUCCCUGGGUCUCUCUGCCUCCGUUUCCUCCCUGUUUGAUGAGGAUAAUCACGAAGCACAUCAGGACUGUUGGGUUAGAUGAAGUCAUGCAGGUAAAGCUGCUGUGCAGCUGCAGACAUGUCAGCAUGGCUGGCAGUCUCUGUGCUUGGCUGAGCCUGCUCAGAGCCACAGUGACCUCCUAGGUGUCCUCCUCCCCUGCUCCCAUCGUGGCAUCUGGGACUCUGUCCCCCUGCCACCCUCCAGGGUCUCCUACUGCUUCUGCCUGUUUGCUCUCUCCUCAGUCUCCCUGCAGAAGAGCUUCCAAGUGGAGGAGACACAUGACUGGGGUGGCACCGUCCAAGAGAGGCAGUAGCUGCGAGUCCAGUGGGUCUCAGGGCAAGCCAAGUCAAAGGGCUGGGGCCUAAGACAACAGGGAUAGGAGUCAAUGCACAUCUGUGAGAUAAUGGGGAAGCAGCAUCAACAUGACUUGGGGACCCCCUGGGCCCACAGCUCUCUGCAUGGAAAGGGAGGAAGGAGCCAAGCUGGUGAGCACCCAGCCAGUGUUUUGUGGACAUGAACAGUUCUGGUUCUGGAGAGGGAUCUUCGUUGAGCUUGAUAGAGACAUGUGCUGUCGGACUGUAGAUGUCAUGAGUUUCUGAGGAAAGGUCAGCAUGACAGGCAAGUGACAGACAUCAGAGUCAGUAAAGAUGGAGCGUGGGGAGGCGGGGCCUGGGAGCAGAGAGGAGGGGCCUAGGAAUGGAGAGGUAGGGCCUAGGAGUGGAAAGGUGUGGUCUUGGAGUGGAGAGGCGGGGCCUGCGCAGAGAGGCAGGGUCUCUCAGAAGACCCCUUUUUGGGAUCCAGAAUCACUAGGAGCAGGGUAAGCUGUGUGGCAUCAGCGCUUGCAUCCUGCAGGGAGUUACCUACCAGGGCUGGGCCGGGACUGGCCAGAACCUUGACAGAUGAAGUUUGACCAGACCAAGUGAGUCCUCAUGGUCUGAUACGUAAGCCAGAUGUGAGUUACCAAUUUGCACCAGGGGCUGUGCUCCCCCAGUGGCUGGCCUGCCCUCCACCAUAUAACCCACUGGCAGCACCUCACCGUAGAUGGGACCUGGCUGGGUGCCCGUUCUAGUCUUCAGCCCAGCUCCCCGCUUGGCUGGGCCCAGCAGCUGGCCUCUCAGGGCCCUAUGCGCCCCUCGGAUGGGGGUCCUUGAGGGGAGCUUCAUGUGCUUGUCUUAAGUCGAUGGGUCUGGACAAGGGUCUUAGAUGUGGCACAGUCAGCCAGCCGGUCUGUGUGUGCGUCCCUCUUCAGAGGGGGCCCCAGCUUCUGCACGGUCCGCUCACGUGCCCUUCCGCAGCCUGGGCACUGCAGGCAGGGGGAGGGGGUGCCACCUAGGCAAGGCCAGCUCGGCAGUCUGAAGGAACGGCUGGGCAGCCACCUCUGACCACACGUGUGUCCGUGCCGGCGUGGUUAUCUGGGCUGCCUACACAGUUCACGCUAACAUCGUGGCUCACGCUAACAUCGUGGCUGUUGAUGCCACGUGUUGUGAGGCCUUUGUCAGCUCUUCUCCUGUAUUCCAGGGCAACUCCAACAACAUUGCCACCGUGGACAUCUCCGCAGGCUUCGUGGGCUUAGACACCUACGUGGAAAUCCCAGCCGUGCUCCUGACAGCGUUUGGGACGUACG